rnacentral:rRNA from 1 species
GACGAACGCUGGCGGCGUGCUUAACACAUGCAAGUCGAACGGAAAGGCCCUGCUUUUGUGGGGUGCUCGAGUGGCGAACGGGUGAGUAACACGUGAGUAACCUGCCCUUGACUUUGGGAUAACUUCAGGAAACUGGGGCUAAUACCGGAUAGGAGCUCCUGCUGCAUGGUGGGGGUUGGAAAGUUUCGGCGGUUGGGGAUGGACUCGCGGCUUAUCAGCUUGUUGGUGGGGUAGUGGCUUACCAAGGCUUUGACGGGUAGCCGGCCUGAGAGGGUGACCGGCCACAUUGGGACUGAGAUACGGCCCAGACUCCUACGGGAGGCAGCAGUGGGGAAUAUUGCACAAUGGGCGGAAGCCUGAUGCAGCAACGCCGCGUGCGGGAUGACGGCCUUCGGGUUGUAAACCGCUUUCGCCUGUGACGAAGCGUGAGUGACGGUAAUGGGUAAAGAAGCACCGGCUAACUACGUGCCAGCAGCCGCGGUGAUACGUAGGGUGCGAGCGUUGUCCGGAUUUAUUGGGCGUAAAGGGCUCGUAGGUGGUUGAUCGCGUCGGAAGUGUAAUCUUGGGGCUUAACCCUGAGCGUGCUUUCGAUACGGGUUGACUUGAGGAAGGUAGGGGAGAAUGGAAUUCCUGGUGGAGCGGUGGAAUGCGCAGAUAUCAGGGGGAACACCAGUGGCGAAGGCGGUUCUCUGGGCCUUUCCUGACGCUGAGGAGCGAAAGCGUGGGGAGCGAACAGGCUUAGAUACCCUGGUAGUCCACGCUGUAAACGGUGGGUACUAGGUGUGGGGUCCAUUCCACGGGUUCCGUGCCGUAGCUAACGCUUUAAGUACCCCGCCUGGGGAGUACGGCCGCAAGGCUAAAACUCAAAGGAAUUGACGGGGCCCCGCACAAGCGGCGGAGCAUGCGGAUUAAUUCGAUGCAACGCGUAGAACCUUACCUGGGUUUGACAUGGAUCGGGAGUGCUCAGAGAUGGGUGUGCCUCUUUUGGGGUCGGUUCACAGGUGGUGCAUGGCUGUCGUCAGCUCGUGUCGUGAGAUGUUGGGUUAAGUCCCGCAACGAGCGCAACCCUUGUUCACUGUUGCCAGCACGUUAUGGUGGGGACUCAGUGGAGACCGCCGGGGUCAACUCGGAGGAAGGUGGGGAUGACGUCAAGUCAUCAUGCCCCUUAUGUCCAGGGCUUCACGCAUGCUACAAUGGCUGGUACAGAGAGUGGCGAGCCUGUGAGGGUGAGCGAAUCUCGGAAAGCCGGUCUCAGUUCGGAUUGGGGUCUGCAACUCGACCUCAUGAAGUCGGAGUCGCUAGUAAUCGCAGAUCAGCAACGCUGCGGUGAAUACGUUCCCGGGGC